rnacentral:lncRNA from 1 species
ACAUCACUACAACAAAAUAUAUAUUUAGCAACAAUUUAAUAGCGGCAAUUAUUGAAUGACCAUUAUUAUUUAUUAUUUAAUUAUAUUUUAGCGGCAAUUAUUUUAAGCUAUAUUUUUUUAUUGACUAAUAAUUUUAUAGAUAUCUAUUUUGAGCCGGAUACAAUCCUAACCCUAACCCUAACCCUAACCCGAAUCCGAACCUAACACCAAAUCCCUAAUUCCCCUUCAUAUUCCCCUCAAUCGAUCUCAUCCCUAAUUCCCACCAAUGCGCCAUUCCAGUUCCUUCCUCUUAGUCCUCCUCCCCCUCGUCGUCGUCGUCUCCUCCCAUGGCGUCCUCUCCCAUUCCCUCCGCCUCGAGCUCCUCCACCGCCCCUCGGCGACGCCGAUCGUCGCCGCGUCACGGAUCGACCACCUUUAUGUAAUCACACGGAGCGACGAACUCCCGCAAA